GAAUACUUCAUUGUUACCAUCUUGAACUUUUUAUUGAACUUAAAAGAUAUCAGUCCUGCUUCGUGCUUGUAUCGAUGUUCUUUACAUUUUAUUUUUUAAAGCUUUUUGACAAUGGAAGAAAAACAGAUACAUGAAUGAUGCAAUUCUGAGCUUCUCUGCUAUCUCUGCUUGUAUUGGCAAUGGCAGCCUCCUCUAUAACUCUCGACUUUAUUCCUCCUCAGAUAACUGCUAAUGAUAGAGGGGUAAGUAUUUUAUAUGUCAUUCUAUUUUAAGUAGGAUUUGCAUUCCUUAUAAAUAUGAUUUGUGGCAUUAUAUUACAAAUUAU
rnacentral:lncRNA from 1 species